rnacentral:rRNA from 1 species
GAUUAACGCUGGCGGCGUGCCUAACACAUGCAAGUCGAACGAUGAAACUUAACUGAUUUCUUCGGAAUGAUUUUAAGUGGCUUAGUGGCGGACGGGUGAGUAACGCGUGAGUAACCUGCCUUGGAGAAGGGGAUAGCCUUUGGAAACGAAGAAUAAUACCCUAUGAUAUGAUAAUAUCUCAUGAUAUUAUCAUCAAAGAUUUAUCGCUCUAAGAUGGACUUGCGUCUGAUUAGUUAGUUGGUGAGGUAACAGCUCACCAAGGCAGCGAUCAGUAGCCGGCUUGAGAGAGUGUACGGCCACAUUGGGACUGAGACACGGCCCAGACUCCUACGGGAGGCAGCAGUGGGGAAUUUUGCACAAUGGGGGAAACCCUGAUGCAGCGACGCCGCGUGAUUUAGAAGGCCUUCGGGUUGUAAAAAUCUUUUGUAUGGGAAGAAAAUGACAGUACCAUACGAAUAAGGACCGGCUAAUUACGUG